GAUGAACGCUGGCGGCGUGCUUAACACAUGCAAGUCGAACGGUGAAGGCGGAGCUUGCUCUGCUGGAUCAGUGGCGAACGGGUGAGUAACACGUGAGCAAUCUGCCCCUGACUCUGGGAUAAGCGCUGGAAACGGCGUCUAAUACUGGAUACGAGCUGCGAAGGCAUCUUCAGCAGCUGGAAAGAACUUCGGUCAGGGAUGAGCUCGCGGCCUAUCAGCUUGUUGGUGAGGUAACGGCUCACCAAGGCGUCGACGGGUAGCCGGCCUGAGAGGGUGACCGGCCACACUGGGACUGAGACACGGACCAGACUCCUACGGGAGGCAGCAGUGGGGAAUAUUGCACAAUGGGCGAAAGCCUGAUGCAGCAACGCCGCGUGAGGGACGACGGCCUUCGGGUUGUAAACCUCUUUUAGCAGGGAAGAAGCGAAAGUGACGGUACCUGCAGAAAAAGCGCCGGCUAACUACGUG
rnacentral:rRNA from 1 species